rnacentral:rRNA from 1 species
AGUCGAACGAACAUUUAAGACAGAUUACUUCGGUUUGAAGUCUUUUAUGACUGAGUGGCGGACGGGUGAGUAACGCGUGGGUAACCUGCCUCAUACAGGGGGAUAGCAGCUGGAAACGGCUGGUAAUACCGCAUAAGCGCACAGUACCACAUGGUACAGUGUGAAAAACUCCGGUGGUAUGAGAUGGACCCGCGUCUGAUUAGCUGGUUGGCGGGGUAACGGCCCACCAAGGCGACGAUCAGUAGCCGACCUGAGAGGGUGACCGGCCACAUUGGGACUGAGACACGGCCCAGACUCCUACGGGAGGCAGCAGUGGGGAAUAUUGCACAAUGGAGGAAACUCUGAUGCAGCGACGCCGCGUGAGCGAAGAAGUAGUUCGCUAUGUAAAGCUCUAUCAGCAGGGAAGAUAGUGACGGUACCUGACUAAGAAGCUCCGGCUAAAUACGUGCCAGCAGCCGCGGUAAUACGUAGGGGGCAAGCGUUAUCCGGAAUUACUGGGUGUAAAGGGAGCGUAGGCGGCACGCCAAGCCAGAUGUGAAAGCCCGAGGCUUAACCUCGCGGAUUGCAUUUGGAACUGGCGAGCUAGAGUACAGGAGAGGAAAGCGGAAUUCCUAGUGUAGCGGUGAAAUGCGUAGAUAUUAGGAAGAACACCAGUGGCGAAGGCGGCUUUCUGGACUGAAACUGACGCUGAGGCUCGAAAGCGUGNGGAGCAAACAGGANUAGAUACCCUGGUAGUCCACGCCGUAAACGAUGAGUGCUAGGUGUCGGGG